rnacentral:rRNA from 1 species
AGUGAACGCUGGCGGCAGGCCUAACACAUGCAAGUCGAGCGGCAGCGCGGGGGCAACCCUGGCGGCGAGCGGCGGACGGGUGAGGAAUACAUCGGAAUCUACCCAGUCGUGGGGGAUAACGUAGGGAAACUUACGCUAAUACCGCAUACGACCUGAGGGUGAAAGCAGGGGACCGCAAGGCCUUGCGCGAUUGGAUGAGCCGAUGUCCGAUUAGCUAGUUGGUGGGGUAAAAGCCCACCAAGGCGACGAUCGGUAGCUGGUCUGAGAGGAUGAUCAGCCACACUGGAACUGAGACACGGUCCAGACUCCUACGGGAGGCAGCAGUGGGGAAUAUUGGACAAUGGGCGCAAGCCUGAUCCAGCCAUGCCGCGUGUGUGAAGAAGGCCUUCGGGUUGUAAAGCACUUUUGUCCGGAAAGAAAUCCUGUCGGUUAAUACCUGGCGGGGAUGACGGUACCGGAAGAAUAAGCACCGGCUAACUUCGUGCCAGCCGCCGCCGUAACAC